AACGCUGGCGGCGUGCCUAAUACAUGCAAGUCGGACGCACUUUCGUUGAUUGAAUUAGAGAUGCUUGCAUCGAAGAUGAUUUCAACUAUAAAGUGAGUGGCGAACGGGUGAGUAACACGUGGGUAACCUGCCCAGAAGUGGGGGAUAACACCUGGAAACAGAUGCUAAUACCGCAUAAUAAAAUGAACCGCAUGGUUUAUUUUUAAAAGAUGGCUUCGGUAUCACUUCUGGAUGGACCCGCGGCGUAUUAGCUAGUUGGUGAGAUAAAGGCUCACCAAGGCUGUGAUACGUAGCCGACCUGAGAGGGUAAUCGGCCACAUUGGGACUGAGACACGGCCCAGACUCCUACGGGAGGCAGCAGUAGGGAAUCUUCCACAAUGGACGAAAGUCUGAUGGAGCAACGCCGCGUGAGUGAUGAAGGCUUUAGGGUCGUAAAACUCUGUUGUUGGAGAAGAACGUGUGUGAGAGUAACUGCUCAUGCAGUGACGGUAUCCAACCAGAAAGCCACGGCUAACUA
rnacentral:rRNA from 1 species